GACGAACGCUGGCGGCGUGCCUAAUACAUGCAAGUCGUACGCUUCUUUCCUCCCGAGUGCUUGCACUCAAUUGGAAAGAGGAGUGGCGGACGGGUGAGUAACACGUGGGUAACCUACCCAUCAGAGGGGGAUAACACUUGGAAACAGGUGCUAAUACCGCAUAACAGUUUAUGCCGCAUGGCAUAAGAGUGAAAGGCGCUUUCGGGUGUCGCUGAUGGAUGGACCCGCGGUGCAUUAGCUAGUUGGUGAGGUAACGGCUCACCAAGGCCACGAUGCAUAGCCGACCUGAGAGGGUGAUCGGCCACACUGGGACUGAGACACGGCCCAGACUCCUACGGGAGGCAGCAGUAGGGAAUCUUCGGCAAUGGACGAAAGUCUGACCGAGCAACGCCGCGUGAGUGAAGAAGGUUUUCGGAUCGUAAAACUCUGUUGUUAGAGAAGAACAAGGACGUUAGUAACUGAACGUCCCCUGACGGUAUCUAACCAGAAAGCCACGGCUAACUACGUGCCAGCAGC
rnacentral:rRNA from 1 species